CCUUGUGAAAGGAAGGUGUUGCGCGCCACCCGCUCGUCACCUCUGCUUCUCGUGACAUGGAUUUCUCGUUUCUUUAAGCAAUCCGGAAAGUCGCUUUGAAGUACAGUGAUAGCUAUAGUGAAAGUCCGGCUUAGGGAGAAGAGAAAGGACUGUGUAAUACUGCUAUUUUCUGUGCUGCGACCUGAGCAAAUUGAAAAAGUAUGUGUAUUGAGAUAAAUGAAACUCAGUGAUCGCCACCAGUGAAGUUUAGCUGCCUCAGGAUCGCCAUCAACGGUAGAGGUCACAGGACGCCUCCAUCCAGGUGACCGGCGUCAUCUUCGACACUUGGACAAGAUCGACAAAACAACGUCUUGACUCUUGGCACUUGUGAAUCCUCGCGACCGUGACCUUUGAGUCUCAGGUGUGGCGACCCAGUACUUUCUCUUUGCGACUCAUUACGAACUGUCUGUGUGGCGCUUAGGAGUCUUCAGUGUCCAGCGAGUUUCCUCAGCUGGACUUUUUACAAACUUGAGAAUCCGAAGUGGUGGGUUUCGCCUCAAAAUGCUUGGUGUGUCUUCACUGCACUGAGUCAGUCCGGGUCUGGCGCUGCACCAAUUCGCUGUGUGUCCAUCACAGUUUUGCCUCGCAGCCGAGUCAGACUGAUCGCUGCCUCGGCCUCGCACUCGCCGGCCUCAGCUCACGCCUUCACUGCCUCACCCGCCGGGGGUUGCAGGAUCAAUAGUGUUACCACUCCACCAUGUCGCCUUCAACGUCACGCUUCGGUGUGCCGCUGGGAACUGAAGACUUUGAUGUGGGUGGGAGAGGCCGCCGUGGUUCAGGGGACCAAGGGAGUGUGUGGCCCGGGGCGGAAGAAGUUGUGGGAAGCGAGAGGCGCGAGGAGGCAAACAUGGAGACUUUCCAGGAGGGCGGCGGCGGACCUGAUGUGAGUAUGGUGCCAAACGAUGCAGCAAAGCCCACAUCCUUAUUGCCACGGCACAGUCUACUCACACACGGAAGUCAGGGUAUGCAGGCGGUGGCCUCAUCGUACACGGCAAUAGUUGGCGGCCCUGGCUGUGCUGUCCGUGCCUGUGGAGGCGAGUGUGUGGGCCGCGUGGGGUGUGUACGUGCAUCGGUAGACCUGCAGAUCAAGUGUUCAACCGCAGCACCCCAGGAACACCCAGCAUCACGGCACGGGAAGACUCUCAUCACUCUGGGCUCAGUGGCGCCAUCAGGGACCUCCCAGGAUGAUUCAGAGCCUCACGUGUCCCGAACUAAGCAAGACCAAAGGACAAGCUCAACUAACGCACUUUUCUGGACGCGCCACCCGGAGCGUGAUGCGUCGAACCCCACUGGCCGCGUUAACGCUCCUUGCAAGGAACACGUCAGCAAGAACUUGUCACACGUGGCGGCCAAUCCCCUUUUUGGCGCCACACCGCUCGGGGGCCACUCCUCACACCCCGCUGGGAACCUGACGUCUGCUGCGGCGGGGGCCAAGGUGCCCCCUCGACCCUGGGAGCCGCGGGUGCUGCUGCUGGCUCUCCUCCUCGCAGCCUCGGCCAACGGUAAGUCCUCAGCUCGCUAUGACCGCGGCGGGCCCCAGCACAGCAUCACGUGGGGCCGCGGGAAUAGCCACAACUCUGCGAUCUUCGGCAACGGCCCCACCAACGUCACCGCCGUGCUGGGCCACCACGCGAGGCUCCCGUGCCAAGUGAAGAACCUCGGCCACAAAGACGUGUCGUGGAUCCGCCAGCGCGACCUGCACAUCCUGACCGUCGGGAUCUUCACCUACACCAGCGACGACAGGUUCAAGGUGUUCCAUCCCCCGGAGACCGAGGACUGGUUCCUGGAGAUAAGUUCCGUCACCUACAGGGACUCAGGCGUGUACGAGUGCCAGGUGUCCACCAGCCCCAAGGUGUCCCUGCCUAUCCGCCUCACCGUGUUGGCCGUGCAGGAGGCGGAGAUCCCGGGGCCGCACGAGGUGUUCAUCCAGCACGGGUCGACCAUCAGCCUGCAGUGUGAGGUGCGCGCCGGGGUGGAGGCCGUGGGGCUGGUGAGGUGGUACCACGGCGCCAAGCCACUCAACUACAGCUCGCCGCGGGGAGGCAUCAGCAUGGAGGUGGAGAAGACGCCCACCAUGACCACCUCGAAGCUCUACAUCACGCGGGCAGUGAGGGCCGACACGGGAAACUAUACCUGCGCCCCGAAGUUCUCCAAGCCAGACUCAGUCAUUGUUCACGUCGUUAAUGCAGGCGAGGAGUCAGCCGCCGCGGUACAUAGCGGCGUGCCGGGCGUGCAGGCGGGCGUGGGCGUGCUGUGGGUGAGCAUGCUGAUGGCGACUUCCCUCGCCCUCACCUCACCGACCUCACCUGACUCGGCCGCCUCAGCACGACUCCAGCUCUGAGUCUCUGGUGGUGUUCCUGUAUACAGCUUGGUGUUCCCGCCUCGUUUCCUCUCCACUUUUUCAUCCCCCUCCCGUUCAGCCCCAGUCCCCGUCGGUCUCGCCCAGCCCCGCCCCGCCCCACCUACGUCAGUUUAGCGUGCCUUAAUAUUUUUGUAGGUGUUCCCUAAGUCUCUGUCUAAUAAAGUAUAUAUCUAUAUUUGGAGAA